rnacentral:other from 1 species
UUGGGUCUGUUCUACACGUUAUUAGUUAAGUUAAAUUUCUCGAGCGAUAAUUUCUAGUCAAGGGAAUUGCCUCUAUUAGUUUUGUGGAAUUAGUACGCGAUGCCCACUUUAACUUUAGGUCUCAGGAAUCUACAGGACUGACGGUAGAUACGGAUCUCUA